UACCUUUUCUCAUUCUUUUCCUUCUUCAAUUUACAUCUUUAACCUAUAUCUUUUAUAAUUAGUUUUGUGAUCUUACUAGUACAAUACUUCACAUCUUCAAAGAGGCUAGAAGAAGUUUCUAAACUUUCGAUCUUGGUGCGUUUAGGGCUACUUCAAGAGACGAUUCUUCCCUAAAUUUGAUAGUUUUUAAUCAUCUUUGGUGUGGAUACCGAUUUCAUUGAGGAGCCGUAUUGAUUGUGGUAGUUGGGUUGCUGUAAUUUAAAAGGUACCUAAAGGUUAGAGUCGAGGUACGGGCAAAGAGCUACGUCCAUUCAUUUUAUGUAAAGUUAUAAUAUUUCUUUCCGCCUUAGUUUUAUGUAUAAUUAGUAUUUUAAGAAAUAAUAGUGUAAAUAUUAAUCUGCGCUAAAUAUUUUAGGUUAGGUUGUAAUAGUUUAACUUAAGUUAUGAUUCAGAUGCUUGAUGGAUAGUUUCCUUAGCGAUUAUUCUUAAAAUAAUCGUGGAAUAAUACGCUUGAAAUUUCGAGUUAGGAGAUGUGUUGGCGAUUGAGCUAUAUGGAGUUGAAAACUUGGAAUAUGGAAUGAAUAUUUUGUUGAAACAGGUUUAUAUUUUGGACGUCGUCCUAAAUUAAUAUUUUGGGCAGUCCAUAUUUCAAACAACUUUGCAAAAAUUUUGGUAGAAUUGUUGUAUAAUAUAAUAUAGUCUAAUUACUCGAAAUUCAGGGCUGUUAUACAAAAAUGACAUCGAAUUCACCCAACUCGAACCCAACCAAGUCCGCGAAUAAAAUCUUGGAAGAAAUUUCAAUAGAGCGGUUUUUGUAAAGUUUGUUACAAGAAAAUUGCAAACCAUCAGAAAUUCCAACUUUUAAAUUAACUUUUUCAAAACUAGGGGGUGAUUUAAGUUUUUGUAGAAAUCUAUGUGAAAUGAAAGAAUAAUCAGCUCCAGUAUCGAAUAAUACAUAGGCUAAUUGAUUGCAAACUUUAAGGACACCAGAAAUGACAUUACCAAGAGGCUCUGAAUCUGCAGGAGUCUCUAACUCGUCUCCCAUAGCAUACAAUCUCCCCACUGCCCUCCGAUAUUUCUUACUAGAGUUCCCUUGCCUACCCCCUAGCUGAAUCUUGUUGGGAUUAUUUUUUUUCGAACAGUCCUUGGACAUUUGACCAGCCUGACCACAAGUAAAACACAACCUUCUUCCAUGGCAAUCAAGCCCUUAGUGUUUUCUGCCGCAUUGGUUACAUACUCAUGUCUCCCUCUUUUGCUGCAUUGAUAAGCUUUGGUUUCCGGAUGAACUGUUGUUAGGCUUAUGGUACUGAAAUUUUGUAUUUUCUACCCUGGGUUUCUUUGACUGAUACACCACUUGUUUACCCUUAUCCCUAUUGAACCUCUCUUUCUUCUCUUGAACUCUCUCCUAUUCUAAAGCACUAUCAAGAAAAUCUUGGAAGUCUCUAUACUUAGUAACAUACUUUUGCAAAUUCAGGUUCAAGCCCUCAAAGAAUCAAGAAGCUUUCAUCCGGUCCUUUGCCACAAAAUCUGGUGCGAACUUAGACAAUUCCAUAAAUCUGGCUGAAUACUCUAGUACAUUCAUCUUAUCCUGGGUCAACAUAAGAAACUCACUUUCCUUUCUCCUUUGUAGGGAGAUCGGAAAAAAUCUAGUCCUCAAACUUACUAAGAACUCUUCCCAAGUCAAUCCAAUAUGGUCUCUCUCAGCUUUUACAGUUUUCCAACACAAGUUAGCAGUGCCCUCCAUGUAAAAAGAAGCAAUUUUCACCAUAAGAUAUUUUUGGUAGUUAACAACGUCUAAGAUUUUCUCUAUUUGAUCAACCCAAUUUUCCAACUUCACUAGAUCCAACUCACCAUCAUUGUAUAGGGUUCUAUGGCCUCCCAACCUCUUAUACAACUCAAUUUCCUAAUAUAGCUCACCUAUACGGUUUUGGUUUUUAAGGAUUCAAAGUAACCUCUCGUUUGUUUCCUCUAACCUUCUCAUUUUGGCUAUCACACCAUCAUUCUCCAUCCCGUUAGGCAAAAGACGAUCGCGACCUAUGGACAAUCUGUUUUCUCUAUAAUCAAAUAGAAAAGGCAGAAAUCACUUAUAAAUUCUACUCUUAGCAUAAUAACAUAAACUUUAC